rnacentral:rRNA from 1 species
GACGAACGCUGGCGGCGUGCUUAACACAUGCAAGUCGAACGGAAAGGCCCUGCUUUUGUGGGGUGCUCGAGUGGCGAACGGGUGAGUAACACGUGAGUAACCUGUCCUUGACUUUGGGAUAACUUCAGGAAACUGGGGCUAAUACCGGAUAGGAGCUCCUGCUGCAUGGUGGGGGUUGGAAAGUUUCGGCGGUUGGGGAUGGACUCGCGGCUUAUCAGCUUGUUGGUGGGGUAGUGGCUUACCAAGGCUUUGACGGGUAGCCGGCCUGAGGGGGUGACCGGCCACAUUGGGACUGAGAUACGGCCCAGACUCCUACGGGAGGCAGCAGUGGGGAAUAUUGCACAAUGGGCGGAAGCCUGAUGCAGCAACGCCGCGUGCGGGAUGACGGCCUUCGGGUUGUAAACCGCUUUCGCCUGUGACGAAGCGUGAGUGACGGUAAUGGGUAAAGAAGCACCGGCUAACUACGUG